rnacentral:rRNA from 1 species
GAUGAACGCUGGCGGCGUGCCUAACACAUGCAAGUCGAACGGAGAUUACGGACGGAAGUUUUCGGAUGGAAGCCUGUAAUUCUUAGUGGCGGACGGGUGAGUAACGCGUGGGCAACCUGCCCUAUACAGGGGGAUAGCAGCUGGAAACGGCUGGUAAGACCGCAUAAGUCGGUUAAAUCGCAUGAUUUGAUCGGGAAAUGAGCAAUCAGGUAUAGGAUGGGCCCGCGUCCGAUUAGCCAGUUGGCAGGGUAAAAGCCUACCAAAGCGACGAUCGGUAGCCGGACUGAGAGGUCGGACGGACACAUUGGGACUGAGACACGGCCCAAACUCCUACGGGAGGCAGCAGUGGGGGAUAUUGCACAAUGGAGGAAACUCUGAUGCAGCGACGCCGCGUGAGUGAAGAAGUAUUUCGGUAUGUAAAGCUCUAUCAGCAGGGAAGAUGAUGACGGUACCUGACUAAGAAGCCCCGGCUAACUACGUG